UACGGAGGAUGCAAGCGUUAUCCGGAAUGAUUGGGCGUAAAGCGUCCGCAGGUGGCAAUGUAAGUCUGCUGUUAAAGAGUCUAGCUCAACUAGAUAAAAGCAGUGGAAACUACAUAGCUAGAGUACGUUCGGGGCAGAGGGAAUUCCUGGUGUAGCGGUGAAAUGCGUAGAGAUCAGGAAGAACACCGGUGGCGAAGGCGCUCUACUAGGCCGUAACUGACACUGAGGGACGAAAAGCUAGGGGAGCGAAUGGG
rnacentral:rRNA from 1 species